AGCUCACAGGUGUCAUCUGAGAUCUUCCAGGAUGUCUAGACGCAGCUGGUAAAUGUGGCAUAGGACCUGUAGCAGAGCUGUUCACGUCAGGAACUUGUAGGGGAGGCUGUCUAAGUGACCAGAUACAAAAUAGAGCAGUUACAAAUUUAUUAAUCAUGUGUUGGAUUUACUCUAUAAAACAACAAAAAAAUUCUUCUUGACAGAGGACGUGAGUGGAAAGGAAAGCUUGUAUUUCUCUCACAGAAAUUCAGUUGACAUUGCCUAUUAAUAACUGAGAAAAGGUGUUCCUGGUUUUGUAGCGGCAAAAAUAGAGUUUGGAAAGCAAUUAAUG
rnacentral:lncRNA from 1 species